rnacentral:lncRNA from 1 species
CUUGGGUAAAGAUUCUAAAGGUAAAGAAGACUUGACCAUUUAUUUUAUUUUUCCUCCCUGUGCUGCAGCCAGCCAUUUAUGUCUCUCAAGCUGCUAGGAUUUAAAAGCCACAUUUUUUUCUCUCCAUCCUAAACCAGACUCCUGUGGAAAUUUGCAAGCAUCCCAGGGCUCCACAAUUUACAUUUUAAUGCAAGACUUGGUGAGAUAGAUCUGGCAUAAACUAAGUAAAGGAAACUGUUGUUUUGAGGGCAUUUUUGAACUAUUUUUAUUUCCUCAGUUGGUAAUCAAGCCAAGUUUGAAAGCAGAAAAUCAUGAGACAUCCUCUCCCAUUACUUUUGAGGAUGAGACUUCCCUCUGAACACAUGAAAACAAAAAACACAGGGAAAGAGAACAGAUCCCAUAAGUGCCUACACUGAGCAACUGUCUCUUUGGCUGAGCAACUGUCUCUUUGGCUAGGGGAUGUCCCUGUGAUAUCAGAGCCUGUAUUCCUGGAGCCUCUUUACCCAUCCUUCCAUGUGUGACCUCUGGAUUUAACUGACACCUUACCAGUUUGGUCAUGACCCCUGUGCUUUUUCAUGGGUGGCCAUGAAAAAGAUGCAAGCCUCGGGACUAUCCACCUUUACUGAAUGUGAAGGUUAUGAAAAUAACAUUCCCCAAGACAGCCCAGGAAGAAAGGAGGACAGUGUGGCCCUGGAGGAAGGAGAGAAGAAAAAGGCAAACAUUCAUCCCUUUCCAGUGACAAUGGGACUUGAAGGGAGGAGGCAGAUACUAAGCGCUGGGCCAUGGACCCUGGACUUUCACUGUUCUCACUGCUGAUGAGUCCUGGAAGGAGAAAAGCAAAUAAUGAAGUUCUGGGUACAAUGGACCCUGGAGGAAGAAGAUAACCAAUGAGCACUGGGCUCUGAGCUUUCAUCCCUUCCCAGUAACAAUCAGUUUCAGACUUUUCACAACCUUUUUCCAACUGCCUAAACCAACAGGUUCUGCUUCAGUCUCCAGUGAUUAAGCCACCCUUAUUGUAAACUAUAAAACACAGACUCUUUCUGUAACCAGCAGCC